rnacentral:tRNA from 1 species
GCGGCCGUCGUCCAGUGGCUGGGCACCCGGUUGUCUACCGGAGUCACGAGGGUUCGAAUCCCUUCGGUCGCG